UACACUCCUACGGGAGGCAGCAGUGGGGAAUAUUGGACAAUGGGCGCAAGCCUGAUCCAGCCAUGCCGCGUGAGUGAUGAAGGCCCUAGGGUUGUAAAGCUCUUUCACCGGUGAAGAUAAUGACGGUAACCGGAGAAGAAGCCCCGGCUAACUUCGUGCCAGCAGCCGCGGUAAUACGAAGGGGGCUAGCGUUGUUUGGAUUUACUGGGCGUAAAGCGCACGUAGGCGGACUAUUAAGUCAGGGGUGAAAUCCCGGGGCUCAACCCCGGAACUGCCUUCGAUACUGGUAGUCUUGAGUUCGAGAGAGGUGAGUGGAAUUCCGAGUGUAGAGGUGAAAUUCGUAGAUAUUCGGAGGAACACCAGUGGCGAAGGCGGCUCACUGGCUCGAUACUGACGCUGAGGUGCGAAAGCGUGGGGAGCAAACAGGAUUAGAUACCCCAGUAGUCCCA
rnacentral:rRNA from 1 species